UCCUUCACUACUAUCAACACGCGUGACGCCUCCCCCACAGUCCUCCGGUCCUCGUUUCUCGCAAGGGAUCCUAUUGUAGGCACUCGCAUCAUUUGGUUACUCUCCCAUAUGCCGCUCUCGAGCCUGUAACAGGACCUCGUGAAUGCCGCAGCCGGAUUAUGGUGGGUAGCGCGUCCUUUAUAGGACGUACCAAGCGGGCGGGUGAACGAGGCUCGGAACUUAACCCUAAGAAGAUAUCUGGUUUUCAAGUUUUGCGCUCUUGUCGCCCAAGUCGUCUUUUAUGCCGGUGAAGUACCAGCUGUCAUCAUGCCCGCUGAAAAGUUGGAUGAUUGACUGGUGGCGCUACUGCCGACGGACAGGCGAGGAGGGCAGUCCAGUCACCGUUUGGUGCGCGAGAGGAUCGGUGCCAUGAGCCGUUUGGUAAGAGCCUCUGGUCUGAGGACGCUCGUCAGCCCUUUCCGCUGGAACCAGUACAUUGGUCAUGAGUAGACCGUCUAGUCGUUGCGAUUAGUUCUGGGUCUUGGAGAUGGAACUAGUCUGACCACUUGGUCAUACUGCUAGCUUGCCCAUAGCGCCUAAACAGCUGAGAAGUGGAGCUUCGAUUUGGCCUCCAAACAGCCAGUCAAUGAAUUUCAUUCCCGUCCCGAGUUUUCGCUUGCCGGAACCGCCAGCUAGGGUAAUUCCAUCUGGUGCAGCGGGCAACUCUUGGAAACACACAGAAAUUCGGCGACUGACAUAUCUUGCCAAUCGUAUAGUCCCCGGUCCUUCAAAGCUGUUCAUGGCAUGUCACGUUGCUGCACUACUCCAUAUCCUCCUAACCCGUUCGCACACUGGACCACACCACAGCGCUUGCUACCGGUGUGUGACGCUCCGCGUCUGGUCUGACCAAGCGCAUCAACCUCCAGCCAUGGGUCACAAUCCCUUGGUCAUGAUGGGCGCCAGCAAGCCUGUAAGGAUCAGAAGGUCUGAACAGGUCCCUCAGAUCCGCCGAAAGGUUGAACUGAGAUGAAAGAGUGGUUUUUAUGGAUGUCUUUUGUCCACCCGUCAAAGCCCUCCAUGCCUCUCACUGGAGAGAAAUUUGGAGAGGAAUCAAAAACUAGUCCUAGUUGGCAGCGCGAAUCAUACAGAAGGAGCUCUCUCGUCAGUGUCGGUGGGUUUUCAGACUGCGCUCUGCUAUGGCAACCUUUUGGUCGAGUUGUGUUUACGAAGGUAUUGGAUCAUUCAUGGAAUCGUCAGCUCACGAAACAGUCUUCACCUUUGCAAUGGCCGUUGUUGCAGGAGGAUACUUGCGGUUGGUGUUGGAAGCAUCACCGGGACCCAUCUCGAGUUGGAGUCAAAGUUUCGUACUUGUCUGGUGCUGUGAAAGGCCCUUCUGCCAAGUUGAAUUUCACGACUCUGGCCGCACUGUUGAGGCUGGGUUGGAUUGUUGGAUCUAGGACAGGCCUUGUUGGGUAGGGUAGUUCUGGCUGUUCUCUCGCCUGGAAAUGGUGUGGAGGACAGCCCCCCGCGGUGAGG
rnacentral:telomerase_RNA from 2 species